CUUCCUUAGUAUUAGCAUCAGUACACCUGGGUAUUUUCCCUAUGCUGUACAGGUGACCGAAGAGAAUUUGAUUAGUCACUAAUAUUGUUCUUACCAAUUAAUCCAGGUUAGCACUGAGUUAUCUGUAACUAGUGGUCCUCUCUGAGGAUGUCAACGCGACACAGGUAAAAGGAGCUGAAAUGAGGACAAUUACAUAAACGUUUAGUUGAUCCUAAUCCGUUCCUAAUUUUAAUAAUUUGCAAGAUGUAGACAGCUGGAAACUGCAAUGUUGCAGAGUUAGAGAUUAUUCUAGUGUUA